rnacentral:lncRNA from 1 species
GGCAAUUUUCCCAGGCGAGGUGGAACAUACUCCAAAAAUUCAGAAAGAAGCCACAGGAAGAAGACUGUGGUAGAUACAAGUUCACCAAUGGAUUCUCCCACUGUUCCCAUGGCAAUGGAGCGGAGCCAUUUUCUGUAAGAGAAGCAUCCUAAGACAAGAC